UGGGUGGGUGAACUGAACGCCUCCCUAAUACAUCUUGCAGACACACAAUACUGAGAUUAGGAGAGCUCCGGGGAAUUUGCAAGUAUGAGCCCCAGCUCAGGCCAGUGAGUCCUUGGCCUUCCUGCUAGCAUUAUCUUAUCUGUUUCUCAUGGUUGUACAUCUAGAAGAAAGUUGAGAAAAGUAAGGAAAAAUGAAUAGCAUCAAAGUCUGGCAAUGAACCACUAGUGUUAGCUUCAAGUAAAUGAAAGAACCUGGAUUCAUAAAUUGAAUUACUCAUAGUAAGAAACCUAAUAAUAACUAGAAGAGGUUUUAAUUUUACCAGGAGGAAUUGAUGUACUCCAGGAAGACACAGCCACCUCCUCUAUCCACUACAAGAAUAUGAAGCCCAUCAAUGUAAGCAAAGAAGCAUACAAUUUCAGCCAUUGCUGGAAGUCAUCUUGGAGCCAUAAGGGAAGUCAGUCUAGUGAGAAACGUGACAGACAAAAGCAAAUCAGAAUCAAGAAAAUUACAGAGAAACAAAACUGGACCUCUAAAUGCAUUUCUUCUGGAACCCAUCCUUUCUUUGGAUUUUCUGUCAUAGAAGAUAAUGGAUGUCUCAUCAUUUAUACUGGUUUCAAUUAGCUUUUGGUUACAUGCAGUAAAAUCAUUCUAAGUGAUAACAACACAGGAAAUGUCACACAUUAUUUCUCAGUCUAUAUCCAGAAAAUUUGCUACUUGUACUUUUGGUCUCAAGAAACUUUGUAAAGAGAUUAAGGAAUAAUAUAAUUUGAUCACUUCUAUUUAUUGAGCAACUAAAUGAAGCUUGGCAUUUUGCACAUGUGUGUUACCUCCUUGAAUUUUCUCAAUGUCUUUGCUAACUCAUUACAUUACUAUUAGUAAACUGAGGCUCAGAGAGGUCACAUGAUAUCCCUUAAGUUAAAGAGCUAACUGGUAACACAGCCAUUCGAACCCAGGUCUGGACCCAGAGCUCUGCCACAGCGCAUUUCCUAAUGCCUCCUUCUACCAGGAUCAUUGAGGCAAAAUUACCCUCUUCCUCAAGGCCAUACUAUUAUAGAGAGGAAAAAGCAGCAGAACGUCCUUCUCUCCAUCACUGGGUAAGCACUGAGGCAUGCAUUAGACAGUGGGUUACACAGAGAAGUAUUUGGUUUAAAACAAAAUUAAAACAACCAAAGCAGAAAUGUGUAGGUGCUCAUAAAUUGUAUACCUUACCAGAUAAAUUAGGAUAGGACUCACAUUCAAAUCCUCCAAAAACUAUCUAUCUUUUUAAAGAAAGCUAUAAGCUAAAAAUGACUAACGAGGAAGUGUUCUGAUCAUGGUACUUGUCUAUGUACAUAAGCAGUCAUGGGGAGAGAACAUGACUGGUAAAAUUUGAGAAACUGAUGCAUCGAAGAGUGAUCAAAAGCUGGACAAUGUCCUGGCUGGUAUCCUGAUCAAAAGGGACAUCCUAGCAGAGAGUGGCCUCUAUUUCCUCUAACUGCAUACUUGCACUCACUUCUUCCUCUAGACCAGCAGCCCUCAAACUUCAGCAUGUACCAGAAUCACCCAAGAGUUGGUGGAAGUGAGGGCUGCUGGAUCCACUCUGAGUUUUUGGUAUAGCAAUGUGAGAUGGGGCCAGAGAACAAGCUCCCUACUGAGUCUCCAGUGGUGCUGAUGCUACAGUCCAGGCAUCUAUUAUGCUGUGUUUAUACAAACUAACCCUGGUCAAUUUGUCUUCCAUAUUGCCAAACCCCUCUACUCCAUGACUCUCUUCAUUCCUUUAGUGCCUCAGUCCCCCUCAUUUCCGCUUUCCAGAACAUCCUUGGCUCUUCUGAACCCUCUUCAGAAUGGGGAUAGUAAGGGCUGGGGAUUUAGCUCAGCGGCAUAAGCACCUGUCUUGCAAGCAGGCGGUCGUGAGUUCGAUCCCUAGUACCGAUAAAAA